UCUACAUUGUGUUCGUCCCCCCACGGGUACCCCGGGUGCCAGGGGCGCGCUGCUGCGCUGAUGAGGGCGGCGGCUCGGGGCUGUGGCACAGCUCCUCGGGCCCGAACCGAGCCGGAGCUUAACGUCGGUAUCUGCCGCUUUGCACUCUCCAUCACAUUCUUUGCAAACUUCUCCUGAGGGGCUGGGGGAGGAGUGAGACGGAGAGGGGGAGGGGGAAACUAACCCCAGGUGAGACCGCGCUCUUGAGGUGCCGCGGACCCUCGCUCCGAUGUCGCCGGGCUCUGCGCCGACCGGGGAGGCUGAAACACCUUCCGCCGGCGCGGAGCAUCGCGCACCCCCCGUCCCUGCGCCGCUGUAGCAGCGGUUUGGUUUAUCCGAGACAUUACCGGGACUGUUAUUCCAGGAAAGGCAGAGCGCAGCGCGCUCCCGGCCGCCCGGGCCUGUCCAUGUGCUUACCGCGCCACCGUGAGGCGGCCGCGAGCCCCGCACCGAGCGCCCGCCGCGCUCCCGGGGCAGCCGAACGCGCCGCGGCCGCGGGGACCCCGCGCAGGGCGGACGGGGGCGUCGGGGCUCCAGGACAGUGCAGGCCGCUGCCUCCUGCCCGCUCUCAGGGGCCGGAGAAAGACGGGGAGAAUUUUAUGGAGAAUUGAGGAGAUAGGAAUACACAAAGCGAAAGCAGCGCACCGGUGUUUUCCUUAACCCCCUGCCUCGAGACUUUCUCCCUCCUUCGCCUGUCUCGCCGUGGCUGGGCGCUCCUCGGAGGAUUGGGGUGAGUAGGGCAGAGCGCAUCCCGGGCCGCUCCUCCCGCCGGCACCGCUCCCUGUAAAUCCCCUCCGACCCCCCUGCUGGAAGGCAGCGUCCCCUCGGAGCGUGUGCCAGGGAGCACUGCUGGCUCCUCUGCCCAUCCUCUUUCCGCCUCCUUCCCCGGCCAAAAUCAGGCCAGUUGUACUGCCCGGGCUUUCCUCGAAGAUUUUCUUUCUCAAGUCUUUUAGGUGAUUUCAAGCUUGAGGCUGGGGUUUUGGUUAUAUUUAUAUUAAUGGAAGGGAAAUGGGAAAAAAGAAAAUAAGAAAGACUAGGCUGUCACCACCCACGGACAUUACCUGGGGUGACACUGCUAAAAGUUGUGGACAAGGCUCAGGAUGAUGAGUUUCUAAGGCAUGCUCCAGGCACAUGAAAGCAAUGGAAAUGGAUCUAGUGCAGGAGACAUCCACUUAUAGAGGGGCACAACACAUCACUUACCUCUCACAGAAAGCUUUCACCCAGAAGGGGGUUCCUCUCAGGAGGCUUUUAGCAGCUGGUGGAAAGCAUCCCAGCUACCGGAAGAUAUCCAUCAUGUUGGGGCAUCCUGGCACCCAGAAAAGCACUGACUGCACCGGCAAGGUUGAAGUCCCUUAACUCCCACCUACUACUUGCACUGGCAGAGUAACCUCCACACCUGACUCAUAUGAACUCUAAUAACGAGCUCCAAAAGAUGGCAAUUACAUUCAGCUGUGAUUAGGAAUCAACUUAACAUUGGAUACCUGAUGCUUUUCAUGCACAGAGUUAAAGUAGAAAAACAGUAGCGUGACUGUGGAAGGUGCAAAUAUUUCUAGUGACAUGCAUCUGCUCCUCCUAAUCUGGGAAUUUCACCUAACAGCUGGAUUUGUCUGUUUGUCAUCUUAAUCAUUUUUCACCUCCCAUCUCUGUACAACAGGAUGACCAUAAACCACCGCUAACAUAGAAAAACGCAGCUCAAGAUUAACAGUGAUAUUAAAUGCACUUUUCCAGAAGCAACCCAAAGCCAUGCCAGAGAUGUUUAGAGCAAUCAUCACACUCCUACUGAGGCAUGCACCUGUGUGGCCUCACAUAUUAUACCAAUUUUCCCAGCUUCACCUGGGAAUAGCAGAGCUUGUUUUGGGUAUGAGGGGAAGAUCUGUGUCAGGUAGAGCCGUACCUGCACACACUUUUGAGGGGCUGAGAGAGGACUUGUGCUACAGGAGCCCCUUACAGCCCACAGUAGCUCUAUUUUAUAUUCCAGCCCAGAGUAAACUCUAGGUCAGUGGUGCAAACAUGAAACUUGCUGAGGAUCUUCCCUUAGAAUCUCAGUGACACAAAAGCCCUUGCUGAAACAUGACGACUGCAAACCCCUAUCAGCACACCACGGUGCUUUUAUUUUCUCACUGGCAAUGUCCCAUUCUGACAGCACAUGCUGGAAUUCAACAGAGCGUGUACAGGCUUUCUAUUGUAACACUGCAAUUAUUCCAUCAGUUUAUUUUUUGUUUCAUACACCCACCCCCUCAAAUAAAAAAUAACCCCACCAGCAAAACAAAAUUUUCAAAGUCCCUGACCGACCUACUGUGCUACAAACAUACACCAAGUAAAAAAAAAUCCAAGCAAACAAACAAAAAGACCCAAACAAAAAUAUCAAAAAACAACCCUGUAGGUUAGAAUAAAUAAACAAAGUUGUCUUUGACCUGGAGACUGGCCCUGACUGCAAAUAAAUGUACUACCACUUAGCCACAUAUACAUGCCACAUGAACAGAAAUAAAAGGAAUCCUCAAGAUAGGGCAAUGAUUUUGUAUUUUAUAUUACUACCACUGUGCACUUAUAAAUUGCAUUGGUUUCAAGGUGUUCUUUUGCAUUUGUGACAAUAUGGCCUAAUCUUGUAGGCUCAUGUCACUGCCAGUUGUUUCAUCCAGAAGCUCAAGUCCUGUGCAUGUGAACUACAUGCUUUGUAUGAAGAGACUCAAAAUGAUGAUGCUGGAAAGAUUAACAGUUCAGAAAAUACCAAGACAAGAGGUUAAAAUGUCUACAAAGAUAUUUUGGGGUAGGGAGUUGUUUCAAGCUGUCCAAUUUUAUUUGGAGCUUGUAAAUAUCGUGGCAUAUCCCACACCAUGUCCUCCCUCCUCUCCUCUUUGGGCACUUCACAUUUUCUUACCCAAAUAUGCAGUAGUAACUUCUUGCAACAAAGUUGACUAAGAAGCAAAUCACUGUAUAAAUCUUUCAAAACAUGUUUAAAUAUAGCUUAGUAGACCGGGAAUGUUGGGCAGAAACUGCUGAAAGCACUCAUGCUGGUGAAACUGAAAUGCGACAUGAUCUCAACGUAUUCGAACGUUCAAUUAUAUGAAACAUUUUUCCAGGGUAAUAUCAGAUUUAAGACUGAAGUGAAGUAAAUAUGAUUGGACUGUUCUGGAAUCUUCCUAAGACAAAUGACUGAAAGAUCAAGGUGUUUUAUUUCCUAUUUGGAUCAAUGAUCAAUAAGUCUUAUAUAUGAGAAUCACACAUUUUGAAUAGAAAACACACUUUUUUAAUAACUGCAAGUUAGACUGAAUAAAAUUACUAUGUUUGGAGAGCAAAGCUCACUAUUUUUUAAGUCAUUGCAAUCUAUAUAAUUAUGAAGUAACUUGAAUAAGGCAUCUUACAUUGGUCCUAAAUUUUUUCCUCAAGUAAAACACUCAUUGAUUCCAACGUGAGUGUUGCCUGAGUAAUAGAGUUCCCUGUCAAACUGUUAAAAUCAGCUAACUUCUAAAAGCCUGCAGAUUGAUGGAAUAACGUGAUUAUACUAAAGGUAUGUAUUUAAUAUGGAAAAGAAAAUUCAAGUUACCAGGCAAAGCCUUUUCACAUUUCCCAUUUACAAUAAAACAAGGCAGUAAUAAGUAAAUAUUUUUAGGGGGUUUAUAAUUCUGUGCCUGAUCAUGAAGACAUUUCAGCUUGUGAUUUUAUUUAUGUAAGUCAUGCCAGUGAAUCAGUAUUCUCAUGUCACAAGCAUUUGAGGUUUAGUAUCUAGGACAAUAGAAAUAGGAAGAAACUGCUUUAAAUAUUCCACUAGCAAAACAAGACUGCUUUUUGCCGUGGAUUGCACUGUAAGAGUUCUUUUGGAAUGUCGUGUUUAAAAGUUUGUGAGUGAUGAUAUACAUUCUCUUUGUUUUGAGUGAAUAAGCCCUUUGUCAACAUAACGUAGCAGAGUUAGAUUUUAAAAAGGUUCUCAUAGAAAGCCAGAAUUCCUUCACAAAAAAAACCAACAUCAGACGAACGAAAAAUACUGACAUACACCUCUUUCUGAUUUUUUUUAACAUGAACUAUUAAAAGCUUGAUUCUAAUAAGAAUAUUAAGUAAAUAAAUGUUAGCUCUACUCAGUGCUAUUAGCAUAGUUGAAAUAGUAGUUUAUAAAUUUUUGAGAGCAUCAGCAUCAUGAUAUGGUUGUCAUAGAAACUGCAACAAUAUGUCAUUUCAAUUAAUUUUACAUGCAGUGAUGCUGAGGUCCGUGUAACAUUUCUUUUAGGAAGUUCUGGAAGUAAAUCUUGAAUAGCAGGAAUAAAAACAUUAAUAGGUAAUGGUACCCUAAAUUAUUAUUUAAUUAACAAAAUAGGGAGAAAUCUAAAUUAUUCUAAAAUAAUGACUGUGCUGGAGGAAUUAGUUAAGCAGACUUUGACUUCAAAACACCAAAAUUAAAAGACAAAAGCUGCAGAAACAUUCAAACUCUAAGGGAAAAAAGUAUCUUUUCCCAAAUGAAGCAGAUUUAGAAAAAAAAAAGAACAUAAAAAAAAGAUUUAUUCCUGUUCACAAAAUAUAAAACAUUAAAUAGUUUUAAAUCAUCAAUGUUCCUUUUGUGUGUGCAAGAAGGAAAAAGUCAAAUGUUACAAAUCCAGGACCAUAAUACAAGAUUUUUAAAAAAGCUUUAAAGGUAGGAAAUGUAACAUGAAUAGAUUUAUUUUUCCUGUAUAAUGCAGCUACUGUGUGUUAUGAAUGCUACCUUAAGUAAAUCACUGCCAGACACACUCAACUGACAUUAAUGACUUGAUUAUUAGAACAGAAAAGCUAACCAAAAUAAAGGCAAUGUUUCUAAAAAAAUAAUAAUUGUACUGUGGCAGUGGGAGUUUUUUAUUUAUUAUUUUUGAUGUUAUGUAUGAACAUAUACUCCUGUUUUUUUAUUGCAUAUGUAUGAUACAAUACCUGACCUGAUAGUUUAUAUAUGAAAGAAAAUACUGAGCAGAUCAUAAUGAGAAAAAAAUGUAGAUUUUCAACACAUUUUAUACAGCAAUCAAUAAUUCCAUAGUAUAUUUUGAGUAUAUUACUGAGUUGCCACACAGACUAGAAUGUGCAAGACCUUUCAAACUGAGAUGUGAAACAAGCUGUCCGUAAGUAAAUAAAAACUAUCAAUAUUAGAAAAAAAAAACAAAAGAAAAGAAAUUAAAAGGAAAAAAGAAGAAAGCCCCCAGCCUAUGCAAGCUAUCUGCAGUGAGAAAGGAGAAGCAUCCAGAGCUCUCCUUUCUGAUAGGAUUAAGGAAUGCUACAAAAGAAGCAUUUAAAUCUCUAGUUUUCCUGACAAUUAACAAUGAAAAGCAGAUGUUUACAAAGCUAUUUUACAUGCUCGUUUAUAAGAUGCUAAAAGAUGGUUUGUGGAUGGUAAGAAGGAAGAGCUGGAUAACUGCUUGUCUGGUGUAUAUUUAAAAGCAUUUUCAUUGGCUCAGUUAUUGUUAAUAAUGAAAGAAACACUUUGUGCUGUAUAGCUGUGACUAUAGAAAACUGCCGUCGUAAAGUCCUCAACAAACUCUUAAGAUGCAAUUUACAAAGAUAAUAAUAACACAGAAUUAUUUCACUUCUCUGAAUGCUACACAUUUGCAUACCAGGACUGUGUACAAUAUACUCAUAAUGCACAUUCAUAACAACAAGGACUUCUUAACAUUGCAACAGCACAAGAUCUGUGCAUUAAAAAUCUACAGUUCCAAGUUUUCCUUUUUGGUGGGAAACCAUUUGUAUAAACCAGAUGCUCUGCAUCUUCUCAGAGAAAGCUCACAUUCAGCUCUACACCUUUACUGAAUGGGACCAUAUCAAGAAAAUUAAAAAAACACUCUAAGGUAGCAGCAAUAUUAAUAAAUUCCCCCUCACAGAGAAACACGGCCAAUCAAGUUUUCCCACAAAUUUGAGCAGAAGUCUGGUCUAUAACUGUGAGUCAGGAGAUUUGGGUUCUGUUCCUGGCUGUGCUACAAACCUACAGAGUGUUUCUGAACAAGUCACUUACACCAAGUCACUUGAGUAGAAAAAUGCUAAGAAUGCCUGCCUCAAUUUAGACAGAUCCAUAUCUGCUUCUAUCGGCUUCGAUGCGUGCAAAUGUGGACAUAAGUCUCUAAAAACCUGGGGCCUACCCUUCUUGGACUUUGCAUCUUAUCCUGUUUCUCUACCUGGAGGGAGCCUGUUGAGGACUUAAUUCAUGAAAGACUCCUCACAUACCAAUUAUAUUUAUGCAUAACAAGAUUCCCAUUAAAAGCCCCAGCCCCGCUUGUUUCAUGCUUACAUUUCACUUCACACAUUUGUAGGAGUCCCAUUUACUCUAAUAGAAUUAUUCACUCUGUAUAAUUCUGGGCAUCUAAACUUCUGCAGUAUCAGGAGCUAAGUUAAUGGAAUAGAUAAUGUGUAGAAAUACUCAUAGUUAGUAAUGAGCUUCAGCCUUCACACUUAAAAUCCUGCAUCACAUUGAAUAGGAGGAUUUUUAAGUAUUGUUAUUACAAUGUCCAAGACAGUGCGUAGCUGAUUUGACAUUAAAAUUUUUUGAAAUCUUGGCAUAUCUACAUUUUCAAAAUAAAUAAAACUCUCUUUGUAAAGUAUAAACUAAUUCCAAAAUCUGCAGUUCCAAUCAUAAAAGGCAGUCAUAAAUCACCUGUGCGUCACCACCAUCCAAGCUGCUUUUGGUUACUGCCUCAGCCACUGAAUAAAUUCUAAUUUUUGUUAAUGCUUAUGUUAUUCCUACUACUUCUCCAGUUGUGAAUGAAUAUAUUACACUAAAGUACAAAAAUAUUUAAUUCAUAUUAGUUGGCUAGAUUUCAUUUCCUCGACGGACUCUUCCGCAACUCAGACUUCCCAUCUCCGGGACACUCUCUUGGACUGAAAUUGUGCUACAUGCAUAAUGAUAUGCAAAGUAGGUCAAGUUUCCAACGUUCAGCUACAGCCAUCCUUAACUUCACCCAAAUGGAUACUUCUCACAUGGCGAAAACUAAACACGCGUAGAAAUGUUUACAGUAUUUGGGCUGAAAGUAGCAAACAGUCUUCCUGCCUUAGAUGGACUUUUACCAUAACACAAAUUAUUUAUACAGAAAUCUAACAGCAAGGGAUAAUUGGAAAUAUUUUGUCUACCUUUCAACAAAACACCAUGGGGAAAAUACCUUCCCAGCAGCUGUCGUUGGUAGGGCAGAAGGGGACAAAAGAAGGAAGCAGCUUCUCCCUGAGUCAUUGCCAAGUACCAAACCAGCUAAGACAAUGCAGCUCACAACUGCCCACUUUUUCUAGUAAAACAUUCCGCAGCCCUGAAACACAAAAGGUAUCCUCCCUUCUCCCUCCCCUCCUUCCCACAGAAAUAACACUCCUGGCUGGGUCCUUGACUGCUGGCCUGCCACAACCACAGAGGAGGGAACACAAUUUGCCUCCCAGUAUUUUGCCGUUAUUUUAAUUUGAUGGUAUUUUAAUAAUACAGAAUGGUUAGACUCCUCAGACUGCCGUCUGAAAUGUUGGUGACUAAGGGUUCUGUUCUGAGUAGGUUCUUUCCUUUUUUUUUAUUUUUUAUUUUAAAAUUUUCUUAUUUUCUGGUUUGAACAUUUCUUUCAAUUAGCUUUCUGAUUUAAGCAAUAGAAAGGUUAGCAUUAUAGGGUUGGGGUUUCUCUUAAAUUAACUUAGGAAAUGUUUAUGGCAUUUAUCAAAGGAGUCCAUGUUCCUGGAAGUUGGAAUUAAAAGAAAAAACAUGUUAAGGAAAAAAAGAGCACUUUAGAAUCAAUAUGGUCACACACACCCCAGAUCCCCAACUCAUACAGUCAGCAAGCAAUCAUUUCUUUAGUAUGGCAAUUUUCCACUUAAGCACUGAAACCUCAACCUCGAUGGUAAAGCAGUAUUCAGGGCACCAGAGCUUCUGCCUUUGCUUUUCUUGUCCUUUCUGCAACCUAGAGUUGCAAAGGACAUUUGUCAUGUUAGGUUUUCCUAAUGUACGAAAGAGGGGAGAACUGAGUGUGGAAUUAGCAAUGUAUUGGAUUUGAAUGCACACUUUUAUCACAGCCACACGUGACAAACCCUUUAUAGAACAUCCUCCACAGUCGUGUUCAGAACAGGGAGCAAUUCCUGAAAAACAACACUAAAUUCUCUGACACACUUCCUAAGGUUCUGGGUCGAAGGAAGAGAAACAGGGAUUUGUCAAGGUCUAUUUAAUGAGUCUGAGAAAUGAAAACACUAAAAUCUGUGGUUUAAAUGUAGUACACUGUACCAAAUCCUUUUUUCAAUUUGAAAAAACUCAUCUCUCUCCUUUACAGUAUUUGGCACACUUGUUUUCCAAGAGUGAGAUUCAAACUUUUCAAAGCCUUUACAUAAGGAACUUGCUUCUUUUUGCUCAAAAAAAUUAAUGAAUGAUACAAAUCCUUUGAUUUAGAGAGAAGCUUUAUUUUGUGGAGAAUAUUAAGAGAUUUUACUGUUGAUAUUUCCACAUUAAUAUACAUUAUUUAUCUCCACAGGGUGGCGAAAAAGAGAAAAUUGCAAAGACUUACUGGGUGGCAGGAAGUGGGAUUCACUAUAAUCAACAGCAGCAGGGGACUCUUUGAGGUUGUGUUGCAAGAUAUAUUCAAGAUUUUAGCAGAAAGAAAAUAAUUGCAUUUAAUAUUGUGCUGGUGGGAAAUAACAUAUGUUCAAUCUUUUCCAGCUUUUAAACUUACAUUUAGAUUUAGACUCUUGCCCUUUCAAUGCAGAGAUACUACUCCUGAAAAUCUGGAUUUAUUUUUUUAAAUUCUUAUUUUUAACCACACUUAUGCAGAGAAUAUCCUGUUAUUAGCCAGCUAGAUUUUUAUGCUACUUGCAAAUUUUACUUCAAAAAUUUACUAAGGUUUCAUGAACGUACUCAGUGGAAUAAAUAAAUAGCUCUAUGUUCAAUAAGCAAGCUUUUGCCAAAACACAGUAAAGUUUCCAGCAUUAUUUUACUUUGGAUACUUUUUUAAUGUAAAACCCAAAGAUUAUAUAUUUUCUCUGAUGUUUGCUUAAAAUUUCUUUCUCGUUCAAAUCACUACAUUUCUUAGAAAUUCAGAACUUCUUUAAAAUGGAUGUAGCUCUGUCUGUGUAAAGAGUAACUAAUAGGUUGAUGAAAUAUUUGCAAUUAGCUAAUACAAAAAAGCUGACAGUCAUAUAAAGGUUUUCCACACUUAAAGGGAUUAAAAAUUUGUGCAUAUGAUAAUUGAGCUUCAAUCUUAGUUUAUAGCUCAUAAAAGUUCAGGAAAUUAAAAGUAGCUGUCUAGUAUAAGCUAACUGUGCAGAAUUUCCUUAUAAUCAAAUACAUUCAUACAGAGGGGUAUCACCAUAGCACAUUUCAAUAUAGCCCUGGUUUGAAGUAGAAGAGAAACUAGAACUGGAGAAGUAUGUCUCUUUCUCCCACCUUAAAAAAGACCUCAAAACAAUUAAUUUAGGCUUGAUUAGAGACUAAUUUUGUAGUAUUUCUAGUAUUGUAGAGACUAAGCCAAGUGAGAUGAAUUCCAAUUUGCACAGUAAUUGCAAUUCUUGUCUAGUCUUACUGUUUACCUUCAGUCAUUCCCUGCUUGGUGCUACUCCAGAAUGGGUAUCUUGGAGCAGAUCAUCAUCUGUGCAAGGCUAAAGGAGCAGUCAUCAUUUAGGCCAAUAGCAUCAGCCUAUUCCUUCCCAAUGAAUUUAGUUGCACACUUCUGGAAACCAUAUGAAAUUAUUUUUCAAUGAAAAUCUGUUAAAUCUGUUCCUUUUUUUCAUAACCCUAUUGCUUUAUUCAUUUUCUCUACAAAUACAAAUGGAAUUACAUGUAUAUAUGUGUAAAAACACAUCAUGGAUUUCUGAAAUAUUAAAGAUGCCAGACCUGGACUUUAAAUCAACAGGGGCUUACAGGUGGCUACCAAGAGACUUAAAUUGGGAGUUGUGGGGGAGAACAAUUUUCCAUUCAAGAACAGUGUUCUUAAAAGUCAUGUCAAGGCUAAACAGGCUGGUUCAUUGGCAAAAUGUAAUAAAUAUAUAUGCAUGUACUUCACAAGCUGCAAUUCCAUGGUUGCUUUACAUGACUUAAUGAGUGGCAUGUACUUUUUUUAUGAUUUAAAAAAAAAAAUUUACUUUUCUUGCUCCACCCUCACUGCCAGCAGUAACACUACAUGGCUCCAUGCUCUGUCAGCUGAAGCAACUGCUGUGGUUUUGGGAGGCAAGGAGAGGGCUCCUGUUGUGAUUCAGAGAAGUACAACUACACAAAAUGUAGUGCUGGCCCCAGAGGGAAGAGCAGCAGGGAAUGGGUGCUGGUGUGGAGAUCAGCUCAGAGAAAAGGUGGAACUGCAGCCUGCGGGUGGGAUCCAAUGGCAGCUCAAAGCUACAAAGAAUUCAGGUGAUCAGAGCCUCCUCUACCGACCAAGGCUUUCCAUUCUUUCCCUUGCCUCAGCACUAAUACCCACACACGUGGGCAGGAGCCAGCCCAGGGAGGCUGCUGGUCUGUAAGCUAACCCCACCAAAGAGAAGAGGAAAAAAAAAAAAAAAACCAAAAGAACAAUGAAACAAAAAAACUUUUCAGCCAGAUCUGCUCCAAGAAGCAAUUCACAGAAGGAUCAGACAAGAGCCAGUGCCAGCACAGCGCAGAAGGUGGAAACACAGAGCCAGAGCCAAUAGAGGAGAGGACAAGGCAGCCCAAACUUUGAUCAACUCCAGCUGUGAUGGACCCAGAGCUGGAGCCAGCCUGACCGCUUAGAAGCUUCCUAAAACCUCUGCACUUUCUCUAAAAACACUGAGAUAGAAUGAGUAUCACCAUCACAGUCACCAAGCUGCUGCUGAGGCCACAAAGUGAUAGUUUGGAAUAAAGGCAGCACUCCUUAACCAAGAUAAAUGAUGGAUUCUGCUGAGCUCCGCAGAGAUGUGCUAGCGCCAUGAAAACCCUGAAAGAAUCUUGCACCUGCUUAAAUUCAGACCAAUCUUCCAGCAAAAGGGCCAUUCUUAGCAGAAAUUAUAUGUAGGCUCCCAUGGUGUAGAAACCCUAUGAAAGCCAUGAAAAUUCACUAAGCUUCCUUACGUCCCAUGCCAAGAUAUUCAGCAGGAACUUUGGUCGUUGCCAAGAAACACGUGUGCCUCUGAUACAGAAGCUCUGCGUGUACCGGUAUUUCAACAUUCCUGGAGAGAAAUGUGACCCCUUGAUGCAUACACUGGUUUGCUGGCAUGCUCACAUUCCUCCCCAUCUGUCAGAGUGGCAUGCUGCCUUCUCACAAGGUGGGAUGCCAGUUCAGGAGCACAGGUGCCAACCAAAUAUAGGUUCGGACUAAUACUCUGCAAAAUGUGGCAAAUGACAUUUCACCUGCAAGAGGACCAUCCUACCUGUGGCCCAUGCCAAAUUAGGAGUGCAUGCUUCAUUAGCAAAGGGGGUCAUCAGCUGAAAAUCACAGGCAGAACCAGAAAUGCUGGCUUUCUGGAUAACAUCUCCUAGCUGAGAGCCUGCAGCACCGAGGUUUAAUCUACAAGACGCCAAAUUUUCCUAACAUUGCAGCCAUACAGUCCUUUGGAGCAAGGUGCAGCAGACCAUGGACAGAGAUCUGUUGAAUUCAUCCUCCCAGACUCAUUUCUGACAAAUGUCAAGAUUCUUAAAAAAGGCACAUGAAUUAACAGUGGGGGGAAAGCAUAAAUAAAGAUUUGUGUUUCCCCUGAGGGGGUUUCUAGCACCACAAAGAAAACCAUCUUCAUUAUGAUGGUCCAAAAAAACCAAACCAAAACUAAAACUAUUUUCAACCAAAUUGCUCAUAUAAUUCUAAAAUUCUUAACAUCUAUAAAAUAGUUUGAAAUAGAUUGACAUACAACAUAAAAAAGUCAUUAGUUUCUAGUUUGAGAAUUUAUGUACAUGUGAAAGUCAUGAACAGCCAUUACACAAAAAUCAUUCAACAUGCAAUGACAACACUGGAUAACAUUAAAUGGUAUUCCAAUAGCCUCAGAAUGAAGUACAGUUUGAACCCUUUCAUUAAUAAAAAUAUUCCCCACUAUAUUAGUCUAACCAGAAAAAUUAAAUCUUCCAUUGAUCAAUAAACAGAAUAGCCACAAAGUAGUGUUGGUUUUGCCUCCAAAUGAGCACAGCCUACUUGAUUUAUAAAUGUACAACAGAAAAAUGGAGCACUGCUAGUCUUAAAAAAUUACCAGCUUUCAGGAAACAAUUCACUAUCCUUUCUUUGGUAAUUUACUAUGAUUUCUGUAAUUUAUUUAUCCCAGGAUGUACCUGAUACAUCGUCAGCUUUAGGUGAUUUUGUUAAACUGGCCAUCCAAAAAUUAGUCAUAUUAUGCAUAAUUCUGCAUUAUUUAGGCUAUUCAGAAGGCACACCACUGCUAUUCCCAAAUGACAAACUCAGAGCUAUUAAUUCUUACAAGCACAAAAUUAUAACUCAAUACAUUGAAUUCUGCAAUUACAAUUCAAUACACUAAGAUGCAAAGUCCUGCCUCUGAGAUGGAAUAACCCCAUGCAACACUACAGGCUGGGGGCCAACUGGCUAGGAAAGCCUAUUUGCAGGGAAAAAAACUGGAGGUCCCUGUGGACAAACUGAGCAUGAGCCAGCAGUGUGCCCUGGCAGCAAAGGCAGCCAGCAGCAUCCCAGGCUGUUUUAAGAGAAGCAUUGCCAGCAGGUUGAGGGACCUGGUAAUUUCCCUCUUCCUGGCAUUUGAGAGACUGCAUCAGGAGCAAUGGUCCAGCUCUGGUCUUCCCAGGACAAGACAGAUACUCAAACAGUGAAGCAAGACAACUGGGAGGCUGCAGUGUGAUAUACAAGGCAGACAAGAAGCUGAGAGAGCUGGGCUAGCACAGCCUGGGGAAGAGCAGCUGAAGGUGAGAGCUUAUUGCUGCCUGCAGCAGCCUAACAAGAGGAUGCAGGGAAGAUGGAACAAGGCUCCUUGCAGAGGUGCACAGGGACAUGACAAGAGGUAAUGGACACAAGCUGAACUAUUCCAAUUCAAUACAAGGAAGAAAAAAUUAUCUUGAGGGUGGUCAAACACUGGGCUAGGUUGCCAAGAAACACUGUGGCAUCAGCAUCCUUGGACACAGUCCAGCUUGACUGGAGAUGGCCCUGUGUAACCUGCUCUAAUUGGACCUGCACCGAGCAAGAGGUAGGACUGGAUGGCCCCCGGGUGGUGCUUUCCCAUCUACAUAUUUCUGUGAAAUAUGUGCUAGGAUUUUGUAUGAUACACAUCCCAGUUCUAACAACGUACAGGAAUAUUUCAGAGUAUCACACUCUAGGCAAUCACUAAGCUAUUCAGGAUCAGCAGCCAGCUUUACAUUUGCCUUUCUUGUCUUUUCCUUCAAACAAAGUCUUCAGUCUUUUGUACAGAACUUAUUUCUAGUAAAUUAACAGCAUUAGACAUGGCAUUUAUACUACGCCUUCCCACUUUGGAUCCCAAAUGCUUUAGAAAUGAUGCAUUACUUAACAUAGAAACAGGCUCCUGUUAUGCCCCCAGCAAAACAGGGAAGGUGGCAUAAAGUCAGUGGAACAGCAUAUUUUUCUUCCUGUCACACUGUGCCUGUACGUCACUACCACUAUCCUAAAGGAUUUUGUCCUGCCCACAAUUCCAUGACAGUCUCAGGCCUGUCAAAGAUACCACCAUAUUAAGUGGACAUACUCUUUCAUGCCUAGGUUAAUUGAUUUAAAAUUUAUUAUUUCAGAUUAAUAAAAAUUUCCUGAUGCUUGGGCUGCAAAUUUCCACGCUCAAAGUCAAAAUGUACAUAAAUUGCUGCAGUAUUGCACCUGCAACUUACUAUAAUUUAUUAUUAAGAAUAUGAAUAUCAAAAUGGUAAAGUCUACUUUAGUACAGGCAGAGUGAACAGUAGGUUCCUGGCAAUGAUGCCAUAUAGUUUAUAGUUUAUUAAUAGAGUGUAGAUCUUGAAAAGAUCACUACAUUAAUUUUAAAGGCUUCAUGUAAGAAAUAAGAUGUUGGUAUUAAACAGGUAAAAGAGAGUAAUGAAUUUCUCUUUUAUUUUUGUGUUUCUUGCAGUCUCUCAAAGCCAAUAGGCUGUGACUGAAACACAAUUAAUAACCCAUGAGUCUAGUAGAGGAAUAAAGCAAAUAUGUAUUUGAAUGUCCUUUGUAGAGAUCUUCCAGUAGCUAAGAGGAGCAAAAAUCAGCAUUGCCAAGGAGAAACUCUUCCUGUGUUUUCAGGAACACAAGUCACAGAACACAUACAAACUGGCUAAAUAACAUGAGGCACAUUUUAACCAGAUACAGUCAGGACACAAAUUAAUGAAAUCGUUUUUGUAGCAGGAAAAAUCUUUCUGAUGCAGUGGCAGGGGACAGUAUUGUAAUAUAGCUCUACCAGGGAGGUGCAGAUAUUGACAGGAAAAAUCAUCUUCUGCAGUCUUCAAAGGUUAUUUGGACACUGGGUACAUAUGAAAAGUCUGUGUGCUCUACUGAUGAUGAAAGUUGAGGAGAAACAUUUCUUUUCAAAAAGGACCCUGACUUGGGAGCUGUGCAGAUACAUCAGAGCUUUAGCACACCUGUUUUUUUCACAUCUUUAAAAUAUUUCUCUAAGGAUCAAGUGAAACCAGCAGGAUAAAGAUACCAGGUGCUAUUUCUUACUCCUUUCCACUGACCAUUUCCACAAAUAUUACUGAAGUCCCUAGGGAAAAGAAACUACAACAAUCAUACAGGGCUAGGAAGGAGAACACACAGAGUCACAGAUUUUCCAUACCACUUACAUUUCCUUCUAAUUUCUCUUUGCUCAUUCAAUAAAAGAUUCAAAGCUGUUAGGAACAGAAACAGUUAUAUGAAGAGACAAAUUCUGUUUACUGACUAUUUUCAGCAGACUUCAAAGACUUUGGCUUACACAGCACUGUGAGACUCAAAAAAGGAUAAUGUUAAUUGUGUUCAACCUUUUCCAGCAGAGUGUUACUCACCUGGAGUAUGUUAAGCAGUGGUUUAUUCACACCAUCUUCAAAUUACUCCUAAGAUAAAUUCAUUAAGAUGAAAAUGUUAAGAUUCUCUUUUCCCUAAAGUAUUCUGAUUUACUACAGAUGGAUGAAACAGUACACCAAAGGAAACAGAAGAUACACCCAAGGAAGGAUCUACAGAGUUUCCACUCUAAACAAACACAAUUAAUUUUGAUUAUACUGAAGACCUUCUCCUCAUUCAGACUCGCAGUAGAAUAACUGAACUUGGCAGAUACUUUUUGUGAAAUGUCCUGUCUUUACUGGGGCUUUUAUGUGCCAGCAAGCACAAAAGAAAAAGAAGGAAAGAAGUGAGAUAUAUAAAGCUGUAUCUUCAUUGCAAUAAAAAUGAUUUUUACUCAGCUACAGUAUUCUAGCACUGUACCCUGUAGAGUGGUAAGUGAAGAGGCCUGGUCAGUUUAAUACAAUGUAAAAUCUUAAGAAAGCAAACCACUCUAUUUCCUUAUUUUGGGAUAGCUGGUUCAACAUCAGGAGGAGAUAUUUUAUUGGCCUUGCCUGGCUACACUGAUAUAAAAACUACCUGGGAACUGUCUGCACUAGGACUGUAUCAAAACAAAGCUUCUUAACAUACCUUUUAUGGCAUUAAAAGAUGGCAGUUAAAAAAAUAAAUCUUUGUAGAAGCCUAAUACAUGCAGGGUUACUAGAAGCCUGCACAGACCUAGGUUCAAGGACAUAAUUUCUCCAGUCUUUGUUUUCUUCCUUUGUUAAACAGGGGCAACAAUGCUUUUUUCUGUGGUGUUGAAUAAUGGCCUUUUCUGCUAGUCCAGAAAUAAAAGUAAGUGAAGAUA